GGCUCAGAUUGAACGCUGGCGGCAGGCCUAACACAUGCAAGUCGAACGGUAGCACAGAGAGCUUGCUCUCGGGUGACGAGUGGCGGACGGGUGAGUAAUGUCUGGGAAACUGCCCGAUGGAGGGGGAUAACUACUGGAAACGGUAGCUAAUACCGCAUAAUGUCGCAAGACCAAAGAGGGGGACCUUCGGGCCUCUUGCCAUCGGAUGUGCCCAGAUGGGAUUAGCUUGUAGGUGAGGUAACGGCUCACCUAGGCGACGAUCCCUAGCUGGUCUGAGAGGAUGACCAGCCACACUGGAACUGAGACACGGUCCAGACUCCUACGGGAGGCAGCAGUGGGGAAUAUUGCACAAUGGGCGCAAGCCUGAUGCAGCCAUGCCGCGUGUAUGAAGAAGGCCUUCGGGUUGUAAAGUACUUUCAGCGGGGAGGAAGGGAGUGAGGUUAAUAACCUUAUUCAUUGACGUUACCCGCAGAAGAAGCACCGGCUAACUCCGUGCCAGC
rnacentral:rRNA from 1 species